rnacentral:rRNA from 2 species
CACGUAGGGGGCAAGCGUUGUCCGGAUUUAUUGGGCGUAAAGAGCUCGUAGGCGGUUCGGUAAGUCGGGUGUGAAAACUCUGGGCUCAACUCAGAGACGCCACCCGAUACUGCUGUGACUUGAGUCUGGUAGGGGAGUGUGGAAUUCCCGGUGUAGCGGUGAAAUGCGCAGAUAUCGGGAGGAACACCAGUGGCGAAGGCGGCACUCUGGGCCAGUACUGACGCUGAGGAGCGAAAGCGUGGGGAGCGAACAGG